CCUACGGGUGGCAGCAGUGAGGAAUAUUUGACAAUGGACGCAAGUCUGAUCCAGCCAUGCCGCGUGCAGGAAUACGGCUCUACGAGUUGUCAACUGCUUUUGUACGGGGGUAAACUAAGAUGCUCGUAUCUGUCUGAGAGUAUCGUACGAAUUAUGUUCGGCCAACUCCGUUCCAGCAGCCGCGGUAAUAGGGAGGAUUCAAGCGUUAUCCGGAUUUAUUGGGGUUAAAGGGUGCGUAGGCGGUCUGAUAAGUUAGAGGUGAAAUCCCGAGGCUCAACUUCGGAAGUGCACAUGAUACUGUUAGGCUAGAGAGUAGUAGCGGUAGGCGGAAUGUAUGGUGUAGCGGUGAAAUGCUUAGAGAUCA
rnacentral:rRNA from 1 species